UCGAGCGCCCCGCAAGGGGAGCGGCAGACGGGUGAGUAACGCGUGGGAACCUACCUGAAGGUACGGAACAACUCCGGGAAACUGGAGCUAAUACCGUAUGUGCCCGAGAGGGGAAAGAUUUAUCGCCUUCAGAUGGGCCCGCGACAGAUUAGCUAGUUGGUGAGGUAACGGCUCACCAAGGCGACGAUCUGUAGCUGGUCUGAGAGGAUGAUCAGCCACACUGGGACUGAGACACGGCCCAGACUCCUACGGGAGGCAGCAGUGGGGAAUAUUGGACAAUGGGCGCAAGCCUGAUCCAGCCAUGCCGCGUGAGUGAUGACGGCCUUAGGGUUGUAAAGCUCUUUCGCACGCGACGAUAAUGACGGUAGCGUGAGAAGAAGCCCCGGCUAACUCCGUGCCAGCAGCCGCGGUAAUACGAAGGGGGCUAGCGUUG
rnacentral:rRNA from 1 species